rnacentral:rRNA from 1 species
CUCACCUCUUCCCAUCCCGAACAGAGAAGUUAAGCCCGUCAGCGCCGAUGGUACUGCAUCGUGGGAGAGUAGGUCGCCGCCUUAU